GUGGGACGCUUAGGCUUGACCCCAACCUGUAUAUUAACAAAAAGAAAAAGAAGCAGCAGAGUGCGGGAUGAGGUCUUAUAAUCUCAUCCCAUCCCACGAUACAAAAUAUGAGGCUUUCAUUUUCUAUAGCUAGCAUGCUUUCUUUCUUUCUAUACAUUAGAAGAGCUCCCGGUUUCGACGUGCGAGCUUAUUGGCAUUAAAUUUGUAUCUAAGGGUAUUUUGGACUUUAUUCAAUACCUAACGCAACGUGUCCUCCAAACCAAAGUUGAACAGCCACCGCAUCAGUUGUAUACUUGUAUUCCUCUUCGAUGCUUCUCGAUGGAUUGUUCCCCUGAAUAUGCGCUAUUCUUGCUGAGAUGUUCUGCCCUCCAACACUUAAUAGGGACUAUGAUGACGAGGAAGAGUGGUUUCAGUCAAUUUUCAAGUGAAGAAGAUGACAUUACAAUCAAUAUCAUUUCUUUGUACAGAGAAUUGGAGGGCCUACUCACAUAGGAAAGGAUGCCCAUACUUCCGAAGCAUGUUAUAUUCAUCGGUUACUUGCUCCACGCUAUCGAUUUCUCCAGCAAAUUCGUGAUAAAGCCGGAUUGGGAGUUCGCUCUCGCUAUGGCUCUUCUGUUGCUCUUGAUGAAACAGAACCGAUAAGAGGGAGAAGAAGACAUAAGAGAAGUAGCAGCUGCAACAAAAAAAGAAGUUAAAAGCUUAUAUUGUAGAUAGCUGAUCAUUUCCGGGUGUUUCUUCCCCGGAAAAAAUACCAGCUAUAUGGGAUAUGCUUGUGCACUCACGACUUUUUUUUACUGGCACGAGUGUUUUGGUGCAUGCCAAAUUUGAGUUUAUAGCUUUUUUGAAAGCUACAUCGAAGCACAAAUGAGGGAUGCAUGACGGACAAUGUUUUGAAAGGUACCAAUUUUUUUGUCAAUGGCAGGCGAGAAAGGAGCCUAACCACAUGUGGUGGCUGCAUAUAUAUAUAUAUAUGUGUGUGUGUGUUGUGUGAGAGAGAGAGAGAAAGAAAGAUUACUCAUAUGAAUGAAAAGGUCUACAACAAAAGAAGUUUAUCAAAAAUACAAAGUUUCAAUUUCUACAUUAUUGGGCCCGUGCUAGCACGGGGUAUUACUGCCUAGUUGUACAUACAAGAGAAUGUAACACACGAUAUAGGUUAGGAUUAAGAACCAUCUACAGAAGCUAUACAACAAAAUGGUUCUUUCUAGACUUGAUUCUAAAAUUAAUCAGUUGGUCCCUAUCUGUCUUCAAGGUAGCUCUCACCUUCCCGGGUAGGAUGUUAGCCUCCAUCAAGAAAGUAGAUGAUCUUCUUUGUAAGCUUCAAUUAGCAAGAUAAUCAGCUGUGCAAUUGGCUUCUCUAAAGCAAUGAAAAAAAUAGAAUUUGCCUUCCUGUGCAAACUCCAAAAUUUGCUCCAGAUGUGAGAAAUUUGCCAUGAGAAAGGAAGAAAGGUUGUUGAUAGCAUUGAUUAAAAUCUGUGAAUCAGAUUCAACAAAAAUCUCCUUGUAACCCUUGUCUAGACACCAUUUAAUUCCCAUGAGAAUGGAUUUCGCUUCACCCAUAUUACUUGUGCAAACACCAAAAAAGCUAGAGAAAGCUAUCACCAAAUCUCCUCUUUGAUCUCUCAAAAUACCACCUCCUCCUGCCAGGCCUGGAUUUCCUUUACUGCAUCCAUCUGUGUUGAGUUUGAGAUAUCCAUCAUGUGGUUUUUGCCAUUUGACAGGGAUAACAUUGAGAGCUGGUUUAAUCUUUUCCAGAAUAAAGCAUAGAUGCUUCUGAAAGAGUAGCAAAAUUGCUGGUGAUAAGAGUAAUCAUAUAGGAUUGAAUCUGGUAGAUUAGGCUUUGAAUGGAGCUACUCCUUCACCAUAUCUACCUGCACACCUCCUUUUCCAGAUCUCCCAACAGAUAAUGCUCGGUAAGCAUUGCAAGAUAAAUUCUAGAAUUUUAUUGUUACUUUUAGUGAGACACCACUUAAUAAGAGUUUGCCUUAAAUCACCAACGAAGGAAACUCCAAACGAAUUUCCAAAUACAUUCCAGGCAGCUAGAGCACCAUCACUUCUCAUAAAGAUAUGAUUAAUGGUUUCAGCUUUGGGAUUCUGCAACAUGAGCAACUAAAAGGUCCAAUAAAACCAAAUUUGCUGGUGAUAUCAUCGGUAGGUAAUGUUCUAUUUAAAAGUCUUUAUGAAGAAUGAGACUUUAAAGGGAAGCUUCUAGUGCCAAAUUUUGCCAGCUGUAAAAGUGUGGUUCCUGGUCUGUUUAGCUUCGACCUGCAAGAAAAAGGUCCAGUAUUAGUGAUGGUCCAAAUAGGUUGGUCUUUUUUAGUUUGUGUAGGGGGAGGUAAAGAUAUAAUAUUUCUAAUGAUAUCUUCAGGGAGAACUUCUCUUAGUUCAAUCAUAUUCCCGGAUUCCUCCUAGAUAAAGGAUGAUACAUUCUCAUUUCCUUUGCUAUGGUCAUUAAUCAAAUUGGCCAAUGGGCCUUGAUCCAACCAUUUAUCCCACCAAAAUGAAGCAUCCCCAUUCUCAAUCUCCACGUGAUAUGUUUCUGUGUAUCCUCUUUUAUGUCUAUCAACCUCCUCCAGAUUUGUGAGUGACAAGAUUUCCAUGUAGCUACAACAGGGUGGAGCUUGUUACAAUACUUGGCUUCCAUAAAUUCUCUCCAUAGUGAGUCUCUAGUCCUUAAACUCCACCAAGAUUUUGAAGCAAGAGAUUUGUUGAUGUCAUGAAUUAAUCUAAAAGCUACACCACCCUCAUUCUUGUCCCACCAUAAUGAAGCCCAUGAGAACCAAUGGUGUUUGUUAUCUCCCUCAAAGUUACCCCAGAAGAAGUUAGAGCAUUGUUUCUCAAUUAUCUCCAAAGUUGUCUUAGGUGGAUUGGUAGCAGCAAGGAUAUGCAUAGGAAUAGAGUAAAGUACUGCUUUAACUAGAACUGCUUUGCCUCCAAAGGACAUGAGUUUGCCAUUCCAUCCUUCAACUCUUUUCCCAACUUUGGCUGUAAGAUCAUUAAAGUAUUCUACUUUUUUUCUCCCUAUGUAAAUAGGAGCACCCAAAUAGGUAAAAGGAAAUUGUUUCUUGGAGAAACCAGUCAGUUGAUUGAUGGAGUCAAUUUGUAUUUACCCAACAUUUGGAUUCAUGUAGAAAUAGGACUUGUUAUAGUUGAUAACUUGCCUAGAGAUGUUGCUAUAAUCUUGAAGACGCUGGUUGAUAA